GACUCCCAGAGGUUUUAUAGGAAUGGCUGCGGGAGGAUGUCUUCAGGGCGAACUCUCAUUCUUCUUCUCCUUGGUGCAUUUGCAACUUUGGACCCUUCCAGCUCUUUCCUCUAGACCAGUUCACCUGGAAUGUGUUGAGCAGUGUUCCUAAGGAUGUUCUGUGUUCAUGGCUGAUCUGUCAGAUGACUGGAGGAGCUCAGGUGUCCGGAGUGGAUCCCUCCCAGAACCAGCCCAACACAACCACUGCCACCACCCAGUCAAACUACUGCUAUGGACGAGAUCAUCAUGAUUUCAUGGACUGGACAGAGAUAUCCCAGAUGGAUUCUAACAACAACGGUCUAUGGCAGAAUUAAGUCCCCUGUCAUCAGGAUGAGCAGCCUAUGGGUAUUGAUGUUGUGGACAACAGUCAGUCAGUAUAUACUAGCAAGACAACUGCCUGGCCUAGCUAAUCCUGAGCUACUUCUGAGACUCAUGUCCGGUCUAGACAAUCAGCAGCCAUUACAAUGACAAAAGUCUGUCUCCACCCAACUUCGCCCAUUCUCCCAGCAGAAUGAAGCCAAAUGUUAGCCCUCCAGCCAGACAGCAAUGUCCAGCAGGUACAUGGCAGCCACAAACUAAGAGCAGUGUUGGUAACGUGAGGAAAAGACAUUACCAGCAUUAAAUCUCAAAAAGACGGAGGAUGUAGAUGUCUUUCCUCAAAAUGUAGGGACAAUGUGAAAAUACUUAGUCCCUCAAAGACAUUGGUGUGUAGAUUACAGCAUAAGGAGCUAUGGAAGAAACAUUACUUUUUCAAAUAGAUGAAUGAACAUAUAGGCAUGUCUGUUUGACUGGAAACUGAGUUUCCUUAUUAAUAAUGUUUACACCACUGUAAUCAUUGACAAAUUAGAAUUUGUUAAGAAUAGUUUAUAUUUCAUAGCGUAUUGUUCAUAUAAACCACUUGCUACAUAAAUGUCCUGUGUCAACAUGAACAAAUGGUAAUACACAGUUAAAGCUUUUGUAAAUUGUUAAUAAGACCAGGGUUAUUAUUAUUAAAUCAUUAAUGUUUUGUUUGUUUUCCUAGUUUUUUCAUGGUAACUGUUGUAUUCAUAAAUGCAAGUUCAUGUACCCUUAUUGGA